rfam:Triticum aestivum genome assembly, contig: Triticum_aestivum_CS42_TGACv1_scaffold_130099_2BL
GCCAUGAAGAGGAAGAAAGAGAGAUCUUGAGAGCGCUAGGAAUGGGAAUAUGGAGGAAAGCCAAACUUAUUUGUUUUCACCUCUAGUGUUGGAGGUACAAAUAUUAUAUUUGGUGUUUUCCCGAUGCCUUCCAUUCCUAUGGUUCUUGAGCACUCCUUCCUCUUCCCUUCUGCU